CAUUAAGUGGCUGAAAUAACCAAAGCAUUGGUCUCUUAAACCAAAUUAUAGUAUUAAUAAUACUCUUAAUGG
rnacentral:tRNA from 2 species